rnacentral:tRNA from 1 species
CAUUAAGUGGCUGAAAGCAAGCAAUGAUCUCUUAAAUCAUUUUAUAAUAUUUUAGCAAAUAUUCUUAAUGA